rnacentral:misc_RNA from 1 species
UUUCUUCAAAGUGAUUUGCCUGGUAAUACUACAAAUGGUGCAUGCUGAUGUUAUAACCCUUUUUUGCUGCUUGAAUUCAAAAUAUAAAAAAUAAAAGAAACCAAAAAGUUAAAUUUGCUAUUAAAAUUGUUGAACAUGGUAUCAAAUGUCAAUAAACCUUGCUAAAAUAAACAAUGCAAACAGAAAAUACUCAAAAUACCCUCAAAGAUAUAAUCAAAAGCAAUCAAGAUGAUUAAAGCUGUACUCACUGGAAGUGCUUUCUCCCAACCAGCCGGUAGUUCACCAGUGAUGACAGAUUUCAAUUCUGCAGCUUCCUCCUUGUACUUCUUCUCAUACUCGGCAAACUUUUUAUUCCAUUCAGCUUCAAGCGCAGCACCCACUGGAAUAUGGCGACUCCAAUG